rnacentral:rRNA from 1 species
UACGGGGGGGGCAAGCGUUGUUCGGAAUCACUGGGCGUAAAGCGCACGUAGGCGGCUUUCUAAGUCAGGGGUGAAAUCCUGGAGCUCAACUCCAGAACUGCCUUUGAUACUGGGAAGCUCGAGUCCGGAAGAGGUGAGUGGAACUCCGAGUGUAGAGGUGAAAUUCGUAGAUAUUCGGAAGAACACCAGUGGCGAAGGCGGCUCACUGGUCCGGUACUGACGCUGAGGUGCGAAAGCGUGGGGAGCAAACAGG